UUCGCAAUGCCCGAAAGGGUGAACGAGCGACGCCGCGUGCGGGAUGAAGGCCUUCGGGUUGUAAACCGCUUUUGCAAGGGAAAAACUUAAUGAUGGUACCUUGCGAAUAAGAGGUUACUAACUCUGUGCCAGCAGUAGCGGUAAUACAGAGGUGGCGAGCGUUGUUCGGAAUCGCUGGGCAUAAAGCGCACGUAGGCGGCGACGUAAGUUGGGUGUGAAAUCCCCCGGCCCAACCGGGGAACUGCGCCCAGUACUGCGUUGCUUGAGGAUCCAAGGGGUGCAUGGAAUUCCCGGUGGAGCGGUGAAAUGCGUUGAUAUCGGGAGGAACUCCGGCGGCGAAAGCGGUGCACUGGUGGAUUACUGACGCUGAGGUGCGAAAGCCAGGGGAGCAAACGGGAUUAGAUACCCCGGUAGUCCUGGCCGUAAACGAUGGGCACUAAGUAGAGGGGUUUU
rnacentral:rRNA from 1 species